AGGACUGUGGAUGUUGUCCGGUGA
rnacentral:siRNA from 1 species